UCGAACUGAAUGGUAGAGUGA
rnacentral:siRNA from 1 species